rnacentral:rRNA from 2 species
UGCAGUCGAGCGAACUGAUUAGAAGCUUGCUUCUAUGACGUUAGCGGCGGACGGGUGAGUAACACGUGGGCAACCUGCCUGUAAGACUGGGAUAACUUCGGGAAACCGAAGCUAAUACCGGAUAGGAUCUUCUCCUUCAUGGGAGAUGAUUGAAAGAUGGUUUCGGCUAUCACUUACAGAUGGGCCCGCGGUGCAUUAGCUAGUUGGUGAGGUAACGGCUCACCAAGGCAACGAUGCAUAGCCGACCUGAGAGGGUGAUCGGCCACACUGGGACUGAGACACGGCCCAGACUCCUACGGGAGGCAGCAGUAGGGAAUCUUCCGCAAUGGACGAAAGUCUGACGGAGCAACGCCGCGUGAGUGAUGAAGGCUUUCGGGUCGUAAAACUCUGUUGUUAGGGAAGAACAAGUACGAGAGUAACUGCUCGUACCUUGACGGUACCUAACCAGAAAGCCACGGCUAACUACGUGCCAGCAGCCGCGGUAAUACGUAGGUGGCAAGCGUUAUCCGGAAUUAUUGGGCGUAAAGCGCGCGCAGGCGGUUUCUUAAGUCUGAUGUGAAAGCCCACGGCUCAACCGUGGAGGGUCAUUGGAAACUGGGGAACUUGAGUGCAGAAGAGAAAAGCGGAAUUCCACGUGUAGCGGUGA